ACGUUCUUUCUUUUCUUUUUCCCAUUCUUCUUCCUGUCCUUCCUCCACCCAAGCUCGUCGACCGCCAAUUUCACGCACAGAUGAUGUUAUGCACAAGCUUCGGCUGACGUUCCACCACCAGACGUUCACGCACAGACGACAUUCGACCAUCACAGACGACGUUCACGUACAAGCUUUGGCCGCGCCACCACAGGGAUAUCAAUCGACUUGUCGCCACCACAUACGACGUUCCCUCCCCUGACGUCCAUAACAGACUUUCGUGCAGUAGAUCCCCCAAGAACGGCUGCCCCAACUUCGCUCCACCACCUUCAUCGACAAGAACGUAGUUUUCAAGAGGCUAAAGGCCAAGUCGGAGAACAAGAUCUGUUUCGAUUGUAAUGCGAAGAGGGAGGCUGUUAAAAUAAUUAGG